UCCAAGGCUAUAAAUCCAGAACCUUUCACCAGCUCUUACAGUAACUCACAUGUGCAGAACAACAGCGGGCUGUUUAUCCAAACAAGCGAAAGCAUCUGUAGCGGAGUUAAUGAUUUUGCAGCACCCCCGGUUACCCACCGGCUGCGGGGCUGGGAGCUGAGCUGGGGCUGGAGAGGAAAGCAGAGGCUUCAGGGACUUUCCUCAAACCUGUGAUUUCCGGAAGCGGAGUCCCUUCUACUCCUGCAGCGCUUUCUGGUUCCUGAAACCAGAUGGUUCUGAUGGUUCUGCACAGGACACCCCAAAACACAGGACCCCCCUCCAGUGCUGGGGCGAGGGCUGGCACGGCCAGGGGUUCCCCUGGGCUCCCAUCAGCACCCAGGCUGUGUGGGGUGCUGGCAUCUUUUGGAAGGAGGUGGGGAAAGUGAGUCAUUUGCAAACUAAGUGAGCAUCCUUAAUUGCAUCCAGCGCAGCUGACCUCGGUGGGCAAUGCAGAGGUGCAGACAAAGAUAGAAUUUAGCCAUUAAAAUGAAGUAAAGGCUGUAGUACUCUCCUAAAGCCUCUGAUUUCUUUUUUUUUUCCUAACAUCCAGCUUUUAGGAUGCUGGAGAAGACAGAGAUCCGCCCUCAAACACCGAUGUGCAUGAAAUGACUUAUUUCCAAUGAGUUCUUUGUGGUGUCUGCCUCUUUUGCAAUUAACCCUUCCAAAACUUGAAUGCCAAGUUAAAAAAAAUAAGGAGAAAUCAGAGCUUGGAUCCUAGAGCUGACCCUAUUUGUGCACACCUUGCUG
rnacentral:lncRNA from 1 species